CAUCGAAAAGGGUGCAUCUUCCUAUAAUUUCAACCUGUGCUUGAUUUUAAAAAGCAAACAUUAAAUUUUAUUUUUUUAAGAUUUUGUUUAUUUAUUUAUUUAUUUACUUACUUACUUACUUAUUUACGAGAGAGAGGACACAAGCAGGGGUGGAGGACAGUGAAGGAGGGACAAGCAGACUCUCCACUGAGCAGGAAGGCCAAUGUGGGGCUCCCUCCCAGGACCUGGGAAUCAUGACCUGAGCCAGGGCAGAUGCUUAACCUCCUGAGCCACCCAGGCGCCCCCAAAUGUUACCUUUCAAAUCUGAGUUGGCACAUGACCCUCCUGAGCAGUCACCAUUAAGUUGAAAGAGCUUUAGACCAAAGCAGCGGGGGAGAGAGACAAAGUGCCUGGAGAACCCGUCUGCGUGGCUGAGACAGGAGUAGCCUGCGCUGCGCUCCCAGGGAGGGUGUCACCAGGCUGGGGCGGCACCUGCAGACGCUCGCUCACUGGCAAGAGCAGGUGGAGAGGGACCCUGUCCCCUUCACCGUCACUGCCCCACCCCGCGAUCCCCAACCCGGAGCAGCCACUGUGCCGCUGCAGAUGGGACCCCUCGCCGGCGUCUCCUCUCCCGGAGUGGCCACCGCCCCUGUGUCCCCGCCUGGGUCAGUGGACUCCACCUUGAGCCAUGAGCACCCCAGAGCAGAGAAGGUCCCUAGAUGCUUGCUGGGUGGACAGUGGCUCGGAGCACUAAGCAGAUGUUGGAAGAUGACCAGAACACUGCCGGCUGGUCCAGGAGGGGGAUGCCAGGGCACUGGUGCAGCCACGACGGGAGCCAGAAAGAAGAAAGGAGGACAGGCUUGAGGGACAGCUGGAGGCAACAGUGCCAGGAUUUGGUAAUGGGUUGGUAACUGAGGGGAGGGACAGGGUCUUGCAGUGGAUGAUGUGGAUGAUGGUCUGGUUUCUGCUUUACAGACUGGCUAGAUGCUGGUACCACUUACUGAGAUAUAGAACACUGUUAAAAAAGAAAAAUCUGAUUUGCAGGGGCCCCCAGGUAGUUUGGUCUGGACCAGUUGAGUGUGAGGUGCCUUUGCGGUAUCGCUGUGGACGUGAAGGGGACAGCCGAGGCAGGGAGCCCAGAGGGGAGGUCUGAAGAGGAAUUCCUCAGGAGGCAGAUUCUGCGCUGGUCCUCUGGGCAGUUCUGUCAAGAUAUGGGAGUGCAUGCAACAAAUACUGGAGAUCUUCUGGUCCCAUACAAACAAAAACAAAACCGUGGUUGACACCCCCUACCAAACCGGGUCUCUUCUUACAGAGGCUGGCCACUCAGAGCAGGACACCUGCCAGAACGACACCUCCCCGUGGGUGAGUCAGAGGCCUGAGCCUCCCUGCCUCUCAAGGUAGACGAGGGAUGGCAAAAAAUUGGAGCCAGAAUUAUGUCUGUUUCCAAGUGACCCCCAAAUGCAAAUGAUGCAUAUUUGAACAAACCAUUACCAUUAAUGCAGAGUCUGUGUUGUGGGAAUGGAGGUCUCAGUUCUCGGAUUCCCCAUGGAAGAUUUAAGUGAAGAUCCACAUUGAAUAAAGGCAGCCAGAGGAAAAUAGCA
rnacentral:lncRNA from 12 species